rnacentral:tRNA from 1 species
GGGGAUUUAGCUCAGUGGUAGAGCGCUUGCCUAGCAAGCAUAAGGCCCUGGGUUCAGUUCCCAGCUCCU